rnacentral:rRNA from 1 species
AAAGUCGUAACAAGGUUUCCGUAGGUGAACCUGCGGAAGGAUCAUUAUUGAUUGUGAAUCGUUGCCUCCAGUGCUGGCUCUCGCAAGUGCACGGUUGGUGACUUUCAUCCAACACCCUGUGAACCYUUGGCCUCUUGCUAGCUUCGGCUGGCAGAGGAUUUUUACACACACUCGAAUGUAAUGAAAUUAUUGUCGUGCGCAAGCACUUAUGUACAACUUUCAACAACGGAUCUCUUGGCUCUCGCAUCGAUGAAGAACGCAGCGAAAUGCGAUAAGUAAUGUGAAUUGCAGAAUUCAGUGAAUCAUCGAAUCUUUGAACGCACCUUGCACCCUUUGGCAUUCCGAAGGGUAUGCUCGUUUGAGUGUCAUUGUACUCUCACACUUCUGAUCCUUUGGAUUUGGAGCGGUGGACUUGGGUGUUGCCACUUGACAGUGGCUCACCUCUAAUGCAUUAGUGCAACUCCUGGUUGGACCAUAGUACGGCGUGAUAAGUGUCUUCGCCGGCACCUCGUGAGAGGGUGGCCGAUCGAGAGCUCUGUGCUUUCAAACCGUCCUUGCAAGGACAAUGACUGACAACUUGACCUCAAAUCGAGUAGGACUACCCGCUGAACUUAAGCAUAUCAAUAAGCGGAGGAAAAGAAACUAACAAGGAUUCCCC